CGAUGAGAGAUUUUAAAUGUUCGGGAUAUCUUCUUUUAAAAGAAAUGCCCUACUUUAGAGAUUAUUUGCCUAUAAAUCAUCAUCAAUGGGAUAAUAUUGAUAUUACAGUUCAUUGUGAUGUGAAUAUUUUUCAAUGGUUGAUUAAUUAUAUAAAAAAGAAAGGUGGCGAAGAAUUAAAAUUAGAUGUUAAUAAUAUUGUUCCAUUAUUAUUGUCGUCAGAAUUUCUAAAGAUGAAUAGCUUAGUCAAGAAAUGCAUCAGUUUUUGCUGUAGUCAUUUGAAUGAUGUCAUAGCUGCAUCCAAUAACAUGCAUGGCAUAAGUGACAAGAUAGUAUAUAGAAUUGCAUCUCGAUUCGACCAAAGACAAAUAUAUCAGCUUCAAGAUAAUGAUGAUAAAUUUAAAAGUAGGUUGUUUCGUGUGAAGCUUGAUGAAAUCUUUAAAUCUGAUUAUUCUACCGAACUAUCACCAAAUAAUGCAUCUACUUUGUUUAGGUGUCUUGUCUGUGGAAAGUAUCUUUUGGCAUAUAUCUGUAAUCAAAUUUCAUGUUCAAUUGAUAGAAUGACAAUUGAUAGCUAUGGCAACAUACGCUGGUGCCAUGAAAGGGAUUCCUUAUGGUCAUCUGCAGAUUAUUUGUCGAUGCUAAAAGAGGAGUUAAAAUCUUGGACUCUUGUCUACUGGAGGACAUCCCUGGUACAAACCUGUGUUUGCCAUUACUUUAUUGACUGAUAUGUAAAUAUGGAGUAACCUGUGUGAAUAGACAUGCUUAUGACUUCAGUUUUACUGGAUUUUUCUUUACAGUUUCCGUGCUCCGACUGACGUUGGAAUAAUCUUGUUUGCUGUGAGAUGUUUCUUCAUCUUAUCGUCAGUAUGUCAUGAAAAAAACGAGUCAACUAACCUGUUUUGAAUUUGUCUAAUAUAUCCAAAUACGUGAAAAAAACGAGUCAACUAACCUCUUUUGAAUUUGUCUAAUAUAUCCAAAUACGUGAUUAACAAAUUUACAAUAUGACAAUGACUAAUUAAUAGAUUUUGAACAGCAGUUUUAAAAGAUCCUAAAUGUUUUUUAGGAUUUCCUAAAAUAGUAUACCGAGUUGUUUAU
rnacentral:misc_RNA from 1 species